UUUCUUUUGUAUUAAAAAAUAACAAUUCAGGAGGUUUCGGCCAAUGACAGUAUCUUCACUUAAAUCAUUCCAUUAUUCAACUUUCCUCACAUACUUGCAUGAUUUCACCGCAUGUGAGUUCUGAGGCUGGUCUUGCCGUGGGGUCUCUUGGUGGAAUGACAGCUGCCAAACAAUUACCCUUUAUGCUCAUGUCACCUGAAGGUGCUGUACUUUCGCUGUAGUGCCUCUGACAUUCCUUCCCACUUUUUCCCCUCUGUCCUUUCACUCUGGAGCUGCCAACUCCCUCCUAAACCCAGAAGUUUCAGGGCGCGACCCUUCUAUGGUAGGGCCGUGGCGUCUCUGCAGUUGAUACAUAAAUGCAUGUGCUGGAGCCUCCCAGAGGCAAGGGAAAUAUUCAAAAGAGCAGAGAUCCCACUUGGCGACCAGAAUUGCAAUUCUCUCUGCAGAAAGAUUGGGCUGUAUUUAGGGAGAACGAUAGAAGGAAAGAUACAGGAAUGGAAAUUGAGAUGUUUUUCCAGAAAUUUGAGGCCUCGUAUUCCAAGGUCUAUGGGGGGAUUGCCAAUAAUUCAUAUUCCAGGCAGAGAAAGGAUUUUGGCUCAUCACAGAGAACAACUCUGGGUUAAAGAGGGAGCAGCGACCCUGACUUUUCUCCGUGUGUGUCACCCAGGAGAGGCGUGGGGUCUGUGUGGACCUCCACUGGGCCUCCUGCUGCGCUUCUUCUGUAAGCUCAGGGCAGAGAAGGCUCCGGUUCUCCCCCGUCCGGUGUGCACAGACUAUGCUUUUCUUUCCUGCUUGCACGUGGAAUUGUCGGGAACGUUCCGGAAAGCCGAUGUUUGUUCUGAUUUCCUUGCUUAUCCCCUCCCCCGCAUGUGGCGCCUUUUCUCUGAGGAGCUGAAGGACUUAAUUUGAAGUUCACUUAUGCCUGGCUGGGUCAGUGAUCUGCGAGCCGAAUUAUCGAGACCUGCUGAUGACCUGACAAGGAGAAAGCCGACCCGGGCAACUGGAACCAGGAAGAGCUGAAGGACGCGUGGAAACACCAAGAUGGGUUUGGGAGCGAGAAGGACGUGCCCGGAGCCGGAGGGCCACUGGGAGGUCAAAGUGUGGUCGGGCCGAUUAAAAAGUGACUGGAGGAAAGGAACCAGAAAUCAGGAGGAAAUCUGCUGAAAAGCUGCAGUUGAGUUGAGAGGGAGGAGAGAGAAUUUUCUACGGCUGAGCUAUUCAGAGCCAAGCCCCCAAAGGAAGAUGAGCGUCCUUGCUGUUGCUGAACCUUUGCUGUAAGGACAGCGUGCAGGGCCACCUCACAGCCGUCUGUCCCUUCCUACGAUUUCACAGGAAAACUUAGCAAGAUCCCACCGACCUGAAGUGUUGGCAGCAACGUAUGUUAAAUUGAGAUUCUCCACGCUGGAGGAAGCUUUCAGCCACGGCGCUGUUUAGAGACCCACUGGAUAAGGCGGAUGCCUUUACAUCCUCUCCAGCACAUUUUAUUUGCGGUGUGGUUACUAGUAAAUAUAAAAACCUCUGUCAUCGAGGGGUUGUUUUCCCCUCACUCCCUUUGCUCAGGGAAACCUCACGUCUUAUUGGUACAAGUAUAUUUACUUAAACAGAGGCUGGGAGAGCUAUGAGUGGUUUUCAAACACCUACCCCUUGACCUGUCACCACUAAAUGUUUGCAUUAAAUCUUCCCACCGACAUUGACUCCUAAUGCCCAGUUUACCCAGUUACGCUUGGGUGGAUGCACCUUUGGUGUGGUAAGAGCCCUCCCAGAACAAAGGGAAGGCAAUGUGGCAUAAUCAGCAUGUGUGUGCGCCUGUGUAAGCGUAAUAUAGACCAAUCCGAAUGUACAGAAAGUAUGUUACCCCAUGAGGAAGACAAAGGGGCUGAAAUGUAAAGGGGAAUCUAAUGAAGGCUACAUACACCCCUCUGCGCUUGGGGCUUAGCCUUUGGAUAUGAAUCUGUUGAGCCAGCGCUGGCACAAAUAAACUCU